rnacentral:tRNA from 1 species
GGUCGUAUAGCUUAAUGGUUAGAGCAGACUCCUUAUAAGGGUAAGACUCGAGUUCAAUUCUCGAUACGACUACCA